GACGAACGCUGGCGGCGUGCUUAACACAUGCAAGUCGAACGGAAAGGCCCUGCUUUUGUGGGGUGCUCGAGUGGCGAACGGGUGAGUAACACGUGAGUAACCUGCCCUUGACUUUGGGAUAACUUCGGGAAACUGGGGCUAAUACCGGAUAGGAGCUCCUGCUGCAUGGUGGGGGUUGGAAAGUUUCGGCGGUUGGGGAUGGACUCGCGGCUUAUCAGCUUGUUGGUGGGGUAGUGGCUUACCAAGGCUUUGACGGGUAGCCGGCCUGAGAGGGUGACCGGCCACAUGGGGACUGAGAUACGGCCCAGACUCCUACGGGAGGCAGCAGUGGGGAAUAUUGCACAAUGGGCGGAAGCCUGAUGCAGCAACGCCGCGUGCGGGAUGACGGCCUUCGGGUUGUAAACCGCUUUCGCCUGUGACGAAGCGUGAGUGACGGUAAUGGGUAAAGAAGCACCGGCUAACUACGUG
rnacentral:rRNA from 1 species